GGGGGUUCUUUAAACAUGCAAGUCGAGCGGUAAGGCCCCUUCGGGGGUACACGAGCGGCGAACGGGUGAGUAACACGUGAGUAAUCUGCCCUUGGCUUCGGGAUAGCCACCGGAAACGGUGAUUAAUACCGGAUAUGCACUACUGCUCGCAUGGGUGGUGGUGGAAAGUUUUUUCGGCCAGGGAUGUGCUCGCGGCCUAUCAGCUUGAUGGUGAGGUAAUGGCUCACCAUGGCUUCGACGGGUAGCCGGCCUGAGAGGGUGACCGGUCACACUGGGACUGAGACACGGCCCAGACUCCUACGGGAGGCAGCAGUGGGGAAUAUUGGACAAUGGGCGGAAGCCUGAUCCAGCAGCGCCGCGUGAGGGAUGACGGCCUUCGGGUUGUAAACCUCUUUCAGCAGGGACGAAGCGCAAGUGACGGUACCUGCAGAAGAAGCACCGGCCAACUACGUGCCAGCAGCCGCGGUAAUAAUCUAGAUG
rnacentral:rRNA from 1 species